AACGCACGAGACCUGCGGACCUGCGGAGGGAUCAUUAUAGAGUGGUAAACCCCCCGUAAAAGGGGGGGACCUCCUGUCCUUUGUAGGCUCUUUUUUAAAGGGCUUUUUUAAUUUUCUGCUUCGGUGGGGUUAUCCCACCGGAACAACCUCCAAACUCUGAUCAAAAAAUUGUUCUGUCUGAGGACCUUUUAUAAUAAAAAAAAACUUUUAACAAUGGAUCUCUAGAUCGGAAGAGCACAC
rnacentral:misc_RNA from 1 species